rnacentral:rRNA from 1 species
UACGUAGGGGGCAAGCGUUGUCCGGAUUUAUUGGGCGUAAGGAGCGUGUAGGCGGCCAGGUAGGUCUGGUGUGAAAACUCGAGGCUUAACCUCGAGAUGUCAUCGGAAACCAUCUGGCUAGAGUCCGGAAGAGGAGAGUGGAAUUCCUGGUGUAGCGGUGAAAUGCGUAGAUAUCAGGAGGAACACCGGUGGUGUAGACGGCUUUCUGGACCGUAACUGACGCUGAGACACGAAAGCGUGGGUAGCAAACAGG